AUAUGAAUCACCUGAGGAUCUUGUAAAAAUGCAGUUUCUGAUUCAUGUGUCUGGGGUGAUGAAGAGUCUGCAUUUCUAACAAGCUCUCAAAUGAUACUGAU
rnacentral:pre_miRNA from 1 species